AAAAAACAGAACCUCUGCGAUUCUUCUUUUUCCCUACGAAGUGUUAUGGGUGAAGUCUGUGGAGAAACUCUUCCCUGCCAGAUGCUGUCUACAUCAUGGGUUUCCCCAGCUUAGAGUCGAACCUCCCACCAGUUGUGUGACCUUCAGGCUAUGGGAACAUGGCAAGUGAAGAAAAUUUAUAGGAACAAAGCAAAGUUGGCCAACAGUUCAAAUGUUCUCUCUUGCAUUGAUGAAGGUAUACUGCCACAAUCUGAGAUUAUGAUGUACUUGCACCUUCACUUCUGCCAGUAUUGCUUGUUGCACUCAUCCAGCUGCAGAGAGACUCUACUGCAGGAAAGACUGCAUCCAAGGACCUCCAAUGCCAGGUGGGAGGAAUGGUGUUGAGAGAGUUGUAGGUUAACAUCAGCAUCUGUUGUAGGCCUUCAAUUCCUUUUUAGAUUCCUUUAUAUUUGUGAGCUGUUCAAAUCCAGACUCUUCCAGAUCCGGCUC